GAAUCGGAAAAGAACAAUACAACUCUCUCAGAGCAGUCUUCUGAUCCCGUAUUAAGUCUGAAGUUCGAAAGGUGUUACCAAGAUCUAGCUACUGCGUCGAAAGAACAGCAGGUGUUUUGAAUAUUAAUGGAGAUGAUUUCAUCAGCAAAAUGGGUAUCUGAAUUGGAAAUGGAAGAUCCCACAUUCCUGAAUCAGUAUGAAAUGAACUUUCAUCUGGACUACUCACUUGAAGAUCUCAAUUUCCGGUCUUUAUCUGCUGAGAGCUACUCGUCUUACCCAGAUUUUACCCCUCCACAAAAUGAUGUUGAUGAAAGGCCAGCAAAACAGCCGAAAAAUAACCACAGUAACUGGAACUCUUGCACUACCACUCAUGAUCACAAAACUACAGUCCCAAGGGCUUCCUCUUCUGCCUCCUCGCACCUAAUUUCUUUUGACAAUUCCAACUCGUCAGCAUAUGGUUCUCUUGAUUGCACUACCACUGUGAAGCCAAAGAAUGAGGUCCAGGGUUCUGGUGGAAAUUUGAAUUCCAUUCCAACUUUGAUUUCACAAGGUAAUUCUUAUGACCCCCAAACUUGUUCACCAAACCGUGCAUAUGGCCAAGGGAUCAAGAGGGCUGCUACUGUCACUAGAAGUCCCUUACAUGCUCAAGAUCACGUUCUAGCUGAGCGAAAGCGCCGAGAAAAGCUCAGUCAGCGGUUCAUCGCUCUAUCAGCCCUAGUACCAGGUCUAAAGAAGAUGGACAAGGCUUCAGUGCUUGGAGAUGCCAUAAAAUAUGUGAAACAGCUGCAAGAACGUAUGAAGAUUCUAGAGGAACAAGCGGCAAAGAAAACCGUGGAGUCAGUGGUGUUUGUGAAGAGAACUCAGUACUCUGCGGACGAUGACAUCUCCUCAUCCGAUGAGAACUUCGACAGCUGCUCGGACCAACCACUCCCUGAAAUCGAAGCUAGGGUUUCAGACAAAGAGGUUCUCAUCCGAAUCCACUGUGAGAAAAAGAAAGGGUGUCUGGCAAACAUACUACACGAAAUAGAGAGGCUUAAUCUCACCAUUCUGAAUAGCAGCUUCUUGCCCUUUGGCAAUUCAACUCUUGAUAUCACUGUCGUUUCUCAGGUAUAUACAUAAUUCCCUGAAUGUGUGUCGUUAUUCCGUUUUGUUCAUUAAGAUAUUAACAUGCUUAAUGUAAAUACCUAAAACUAAUUAGUAGUACUUUCUUGAUUACAGAUGGACG